rnacentral:rRNA from 1 species
CGUACACUCCUGCGGGAGGCAGCAGUGGGGGAUAUUGCACAAUGGGGGAAACCCUGAUGCAGCGACGCCGCGUGGAGGAAGAAGGUUUUCGGAUUGUAAACUCCUGUCGUUAGAGACGAUAAUGACGGUACCUAACAAGAAAGCACCGGCUAACUACGUGCCAGCAGCCGCGGUAAAACGUAGGGUGCAAGCGUUGUCCGGAAUUACUGGGUGUAAAGGGAGCGCAGGCGGACCGGCAAGUUGGAAGUGAAAACUAUGGGCUCAACCCAUAAAUUGCUUUCAAAACUGCUGGCCUUGAGUAGUGCAGAGGUAGGUGGAAUUCCCGGUGUAGCGGUGGAAUGCGUAGAUAUCGGGAGGAACACCAGUGGCGAAGGCGACCUACUGGGCACCAACUGACGCUGAGGCUCGAAAGCAUGGGUAGCAAACAGGAUUAGAUACCCUAGUAGUCCC